GUGAAAUUAUAUUUGCAUAUUAAAAAUAUACAUUUACAAUGUAAAUAGAAGUAAUAUAGCGUCUCAUUGUUCGCUUGUUCUUUGUCUUUUGAGUAUUAUUAAAUAACACAAUGUCUGCAUGUAGAAUCUCCAUUACCACAAAAAUCUACAUACCAAGUCCAUUUCAGAAAACGAUAUAUUGAGAGUAUCCACAUCGCUGCCGUCGAACGAUGAGCACAACAUAUUAAUUGUCAACAUAUGGCGUUAUUCAAGCGUGUCCUGUUCAUAGCGAUCGAUAUCAUUAUAUCAGUGUUACGACUGCUUGUUAUGAAUUGCAUUAUAAAACGCGUCAAUGAUCUACAUGAUAUUUAAUCAGGUAAAAUACAUACAUAUUUCCAUUUCACAGAAUGACAUAUUAUUAAGAACGUCAACAUCGUCGAAAUCCUCGAUUUUUCCCUCUGUUCGUCGCUGCUUUCGGCCAUGACUGCCCUGAAGUAUCACAAAUACUCUACCAUACACGGGACAAUAGUUUUGGGAUAGGAUGGUUCAUAUUUCACGAAGAUUUUUAAGGAUUGAAAACCGAUACCCAGGAAACGUCACUUCUGCCCAGG